UUGCAGCCAGUUAAGCCAACCAUGUUCUUUUCCCCGUGGGGGCUCAGUGUGCAGUGGUUGUAAACAGUACACUAACUCCUCUGUAGUAUAUUCAACUUGUGGCCUAUAUGGGUCACCCUAAGGAGACAGCC
ensembl:snoRNA SNORA70 Small nucleolar RNA SNORA70